rnacentral:rRNA from 1 species
GACGAACGCUGGCGGCGUGCUUAACACAUGCAAGUCGAACGGACAGGCCCUGCUUUUGUGGGGUGCUCGAGUGGCGAACGGGUGAGUAACACGUGAGUAACCUGCCCUUGACUUUGGGAUAACUUCAGGAAACUGGGGCUAAUACCGGAUAGGAGCUCCUGCUGCGUGGUGGGGGUUGGAAAGUUUCGGCGGUUGGGGAUGGACUCGCGGCUUAUCGGCUUGUUGGUGGGGUAGUGGCUUACCAAGGCUUUGACGGGUAGCCGGCCUGGGAGGGGGAACGGGCACAAGACGACUAAGGGACGGCCCAGACGCCUACGGGAGGCAGCGGGCGGGAAUAUUGCACAACAGGGGGAAGUCUGAUGCAACAACGCCCGGUUCGUGAAAACCUGCUUUUGGGUGAGAACCGCUUUCGCCGUAGACGAAGCCGUAUUGACGGUAAUGGGUAAAGAAGCACCGGCUAACUACGUG